UUCCUCAGACAAAGAUGUUGGAGGUAACACAGGGUGAAAGGUCUGUCCUGCUGCCCUUUAAGACUACACCUGACCUUCCUCAAGACGUCAGAGUGGAGUGGGCUCUCACUCAACCCAAACCCAUGAAGGUUCACAUGUAUGAGAGUGGAAACAAUCAGCCAGAUAAACAAGACCAGGAUUACAGAGGUCGCACAGAGAUGAACGAAGAUCGAGUGAAAAAUAAAGACCUCAGUCUGACCCUGAAAAACCUCCGCUUUACUGACCGUGGAGUCUACACCUGCACCGUCUACAACAAGGAUGGCCACAUGCUGCUACACAAGUCACUGAUACUCAGUGUCAGAGGUGAGUGUAACAGCUGUUUGUCCACAGUCUGAAUCGCAGAUGUGUAAACCUGUGUGUCCAGCUGUUUGUGCAGCCUCACACAUAAAUGCACAAGCAGUUCAGCUCCAAGUCAGAGAAACACUAAAAACAGGAGUGAAGAUCUGCUGAUUACACAGCAGAGGACAUGAUGGAGGAUCAACCUCACUGAUGUCUGUCUGUUUGUUUUUUGCUUCUUUUUUUCUCUCAGUUUCUCAGACAGAGAUGGUUGAGGUGACACAAGGAGAGACAUCUGUCCUUCUACCCUUUACAACUACACCUGACCUUCCUGAGGACGUCACAGUGGAGUGGACUCUCACUGAACCACAACAAAUGAAGGUCCACGUGUAUGAGAGUGGAAACAAUCAGCCAGAUAAACAGGACCAGGAUUACAGAGGUCGCACAGAGAUGAAUGAAGAUCCACUGACAGCUAAAGACCUCAGUCUGACCCUGAAAGACCUCCACCUCACUGACAGUGGAGUCUACACCUGCACCGUCUACAACAAGGAUGGACACAUGCUGCUACAGAAAUCAGUGAUACUCAGUGUCAGAGAUGUUGGGAUGCAGAUGGUGGUUACACAAGGGCUAAAGUUUGUAAUGCUGCCCUUCAAAAUACCACGUGACCUUCCUCAGGGCACCACAGUGGAGUGGAGACACAACAGUGUGAAAGUCUACAAGUGCAUAGCUAUAAAUUUUGGCACACAGCACCAGCCUCGCAGAGAUCGUGCAGAGAUGGAUGGACAUCCACUGACAACUGGAGACUUCAGUCUGACCCUUAGAGACCCCCACCUCACUGACAGUGGAGUCUACACCUGCACCGUCAACAACACAUACAGAGACAUCCUGCUACAGAAAGUGGUGACUCUCAGUGUCAGAGAUAACGAAGUGGGCGUGUUGGAGGUGACACAAGGGGAGAGGUCUGUGCUGCUGCCCUUUCAAACCACAGCUGACCUUCGUCAGGGCGUCACAGUGGAGUGGACACGCUCAGACUCCAAACACACCAAAGUCUGUAUGUUUCAGAAAAGCCAAAGCCAGGCAGACAAACAGCACCAGGGUUACAGAGGUCGCGCAGAGAUGGAUGAAGAUCCACUGAGAACUGGAGACCUCAGUCUGACCCUGAAAGACCUCCACCCUACUGACAGUGGAGUCUACACCUGCACCGUCUACAACAAGGAUGGACACAUGCUGCUACAGAGAGUAGUGACUCUCAGUGUCAGAGGUGAGUGA
ensembl:lncRNA